UGGUUCUGGCAUCGAUGAAGAACGCAGCGAAAUGCGAUAAGUAAUGCGAAUUGCAGAAUUCCAGUGAGUCAUCGAAUUUUUGAACGCACAUUGCGCCCUUUGGCAUUCCGAAGGGCAUGCCUGUUCGAGCGUCAUUAUCACCUCUCUCAAGCCCCUCCUCUUUUACAGAGCCGGGCUUGAUGUUGGACAGGCGGUGUUGGAAGACGCCCCUUCUAAAGACAACGACGGCGGCCCGUGAGACCCCCGGUACAUUGAGUUCUUCACCGAACACGUACUGGAUCAAGGGAACACGUGGUGUUGGUCGGUUCUCCCCGUCAUCAGGGAGAACAUUUUUAAUCAGGUUGACCUCGGAUCAGGUAGGGAUACCCGCUGA
rnacentral:misc_RNA from 1 species